rnacentral:rRNA from 1 species
AUUGAACGCUGGCGGCAGGCCUAACACAUGCAAGUCGAACGGUAACAGGAAACAGCUUGCUGUUUCGCUGACGAGUGGCGGACGGGUGAGUAAUGUCUGGGAAACUGCCUGAUGGAGGGGGAUAACUACUGGAAACGGUAGCUAAUACCGCAUAACGUCGCAAGACCAAAGAGGGGGACCUUCGGGCCUCUUGCCAUCGGAUGUGCCCAGAGGGGAUUAGCUAGUAGGUGGGGUAACGGCUCACCUAGGCGACGAUCCCUAGCUGGUCUGAGAGGAUGACCAGCCACACUGGAACUGAGACACGGUCCAGACUCCUACGGGAGGCAGCAGUGGGGAAUAUUGCACAAUGGGCGCAAGCCUGAUGCAGCCAUGCCGCGUGUAUGAAGAAGGCCUUCGGGUUGUAAAGUACUUUCAGCGGGGAGGAAGGGAGUAAAGUCAAUACCUUUGCUCAUUGACGUUACCCGCAGAAGAAGCACCGGCUAACUCCGUGCCAGCAGCCGCCGCGG